rnacentral:rRNA from 1 species
UGCCAAUUAAUUUAACUUGGGAGUCAGAACAUGGGUGAUAAGGUCCGUGUUCGAAAGGGAAACAGCCCAGACCACCAGCUAAGGUCCCAAAAUAUAUGUUAAGUGGAAAAGGAUGUGGCGUUGCCCAGACAACUAGGAUGUUGGCUUAGAAGCAGCCAUCAUUUAAAGAGUGCGUAAUAGCUCACUAGUCGAGUGACACUGCGCCGAAAAUGUACCGGGGCUAAACAUAUUACCGAAGCUGUGGAUUGUCCUUUGGACAAUGGUAGGAGAGCGUUCUAAGGGCGUUGAAGCAUGAUCGUAAGGACAUGUGGAGCGCUUAGAAGUGAGAAUGCCGGUGUGAGUAGCGAAAGACGGGUGAGAAUCCCGUCCACCGAUUGACUAAGGUUUCCAGAGGAAGGCUCGUCCGCUCUGGGUUAGUCGGGUCCUAAGCUGAGGCCGACAGGCGUAGGCGAUGGAUAACAGGUUGAUAUUCCUGUACCACCUAUAAUCGUUUUAAUCGAUGGGGGGACGCAGUAGGAUAGGCGAAGCGUGCGAUUGGAUUGCACGUCUAAGCAGUAAGGCUGAGUAUUAGGCAAAUCCGGUACUCGUUAAGGCUGAGCUGUGAUGGGGAGAAGACAUUGUGUCUUCGAGUCGUUGAUUUCACACUGCCGAGAAAAGCCUCUAGAUAGAAAAUAGGUGCCCGUACCGCAAACCGACACAGGUAGUCAAGAUGAGAAUUCUAAGGUGAGCGAGCGAACUCUCGUUAAGGAACUCGGCAAAAUGACCCCGUAACUUCGGGAGAAGGGGUGCUCUUUAGGGUUAACGCCCAGAAGAGCCGCAGUGAAUAGGCCCAAGCGACUGUUUAUCAAAAACACAGGUCUCUGCUAAACCGUAAGGUGAUGUAUAGGGGCUGACGCCUGCCCGGUGCUGGAAGGUUAAGAGGAGUGGUUAGCUUCUGCGAAGCUACGAAUCGAAGCCCCAGUAAACGGCGGCCGUAACUAUAACGGUCCUAAGGUAGCGAAAUUCCUUGUCGGGUAAGUUCCGACCCGCACGAAAGGCGUAACGAUUUGGGCACUGUCUCAACGAGAGACUCGGUGAAAUCAUAGUACCUGUGAAGAUGCAGGUUACCCGCGACAGGACGGAAAGACCCCGUGGAGCUUUACUGUAGCCUGAUAUUGAAAUUCGGCACAGCUUGUACAGGAUAGGUAGGAGCCUUUGAAACGUGAGCGCUAGCUUACGUGGAGGCGCUGGUGGGAUACUACCCUAGCUGUGUUGGCUUUCUAACCCGCACCACUUAUCGUGGUGGGAGACAGUGUCAGGCGGGCAGUUUGACUGGGGCGGUCGCCUCCUAAAAGGUAACGGAGGCGCUCAAAGGUUCCCUCAGAAUGGUUGGAAAUCAUUCAUAGAGUGUAAAGGCAUAAGGGAGCUUGACUGCGAGACCUACAAGUCGAGCAGGGUCGAAAGACGGACUUAGUGAUCCGGUGGUUCCGCAUGGAAGGGCCAUCGCUCAACGGAUAAAAGCUACCCCGGGGAUAACAGGCUUAUCUCCCCCAAGAGUUCACAUCGACGGGGAGGUUUGGCACCUCGAUGUCGGCUCAUCGCAUCCUGGGGCUGUAGUCGGUCCCAAGGGUUGGGCUGUUCGCCCAUUAAAGCGGUACGCGAGCUGGGUUCAGAACGUCGUGAGACAGUUCGGUCCCUAUCCGUCGUGGGCGUAGGAAAUUUGAGAGGAGCUGUCCUUAGUACGAGAGGACCGGGAUGGACAUACCUCUGGUGUACCAGUUGUCGUGCCAACGGCAUAGCUGGGUAGCUAUGUGUGGACGGGAUAAGUGCUGAAAGCAUCUAAGCAUGAAGCCCCCCUCAAGAUGAGAUUUCCCAACUUCGGUUAUAAGAUCCCUCAAAGAUGAUGAGGUUAAUAGGUUCGAGGUGGAAGCAUGGUGACAUGUGGAGCUGACGAAUACUAAUCGAUCGAAGACUUAAUCAA